GCCGCUCCACCGGGCGGCGCUGUAGCUUCCCGAUCGCGCUCUCCAAGCGCCGGGGACGCGGCGCUCGCGCUCCCGCCCGAGCCGCGGGGAAACGGAGACAAGGAGACGCCUUCACCUCCGGCUCCCCGGCCCUGCGCCCGCAGCAUGCCCGCCGCGGAGCCGAGCGCCGCCCUCCUCCUGCAGCUCGCGGAGGUGACGCCGCCGGCCUCCGGACCGCCGCUGCGAGGGUAGCGGGGCUGGAGUCGGCUACCGAGGCUCGGCGAGGCGGGCGGAGCUGGAGGAGGAGCAGGCAUCCUCCGCGGCGCGGCGGGCGGCGGCCCUGCUGCCCGGCGCGCCCAUGGCCCAGGAGCACGGAGAAUGCGAGCCGCGCUGCGCGGCCGCAGCCCAGCUCCGAGCCGCUUGCCCGGAGCCCCUCAAACCUGCCUGCGUCGCUGCCGCCCGCCACCGGCUGCGCUAGGACCCACGGCCGCCGGCCGCGCAGGGGUGGUGGCCCGGGAGCAGCGGGAGCUAGAGGGCCCGGGGGCUGGGCGCCCGCCGGAGUCCAGCGCGGCAUGCAGCUGCGGGCUCCGGUACCGGCGUGAGGGUUGUCGGCGCGGGGCCCCGCCAUGGCUGGCCAGGACAGUGGCAACCUGAAGACGGUGAGGCUGUGGCGGGACGCCGCCCUGAGAGCCAGGAAGCUGCGGAGCAACCUGCGCCAGCUCACGCUCAGCUGCCCAGGGGCCGGAGGCGACCCACUGGAGUCCCCCGACGCCCCCCAGCUGGUGCUGCCGGCCAACAUCGGGGACAUUGAGGUGCUGAACCUGGGGAACAACGGCCUCGAGGAUGUGCCUGAAGGUCUGGGGUCAGCUCUGGGCAGCCUUCGCGUCUUGGUCUUGCGCAGGAACCGUUUUGCCCGGCUGCCCCCUGCGGUGGCGGAGCUAGGCCACCACCUUACCGAACUGGACGUCAGCCACAACCGGUUGACCAUCCUGGGAGCCGAGGUGGUGAGCGCCCUGAGGGAGCUGCGCAAACUCAACCUGAGCCACAACCAGUUGCCAGCCCUGCCUGCCCAGCUGGGUGCCCUCGCCCACCUGGAGGAGCUGGAUGUCAGCUUCAACCGGCUGGCGCAUCUGCCAGAUUCCUUCUCCUGCCUCAACCACCUUCGGACCCUUGACGUGGACCACAACCAGCUCACCGCCUUUCCCCAGCAGCUGCUGCAGCUGGCUGCCCUGGAGGAGCUCGACGUCUCCAGCAACCGGCUGCGAGGCCUACCUGAGGAUAUCAGUGCCCUGCGUGCCCUCAAGAUCCUCUGGCUUAGCGGGGCCGAGCUUGGCACGCUGCCCAGAGGCUUCUGCGAGCUGGCCAGUUUGGAGAGCCUCAUGUUAGAUAACAACGGGCUCCAGGCUCUGCCCGACGAGUUCAGCCGUCUGCAGAGGCUCAAAAUGCUCAACCUCUCUUCCAACCUCUUCGAGGAGUUCCCUGCUGCGCUGCUGCCCCUGGCUGGUCUGGAGGAGCUCUAUCUUAGUCGCAAUCAGCUCACCUCAGUGCCCUCUCUUAUCGCCGGGCUGGGUCGGCUUCUCACCUUGUGGCUGGAUAAUAACCGCAUCCGGUACCUGCCAGACUCCAUUGUGGAGCUGACUGGCCUGGAGGAGCUGGUGCUCCAGGGCAACCAGAUCGCUGUGCUGCCGGACAACUUUGGCCAGCUCUCCCGGGUAGGCUUGUGGAAAAUCAAGGACAACCCACUGAUUCAGCCCCCUUACGAAGUCUGCAUGAAGGGGAUCCCUUACAUCGCAGCCUACCAGAAGGAACUGGCGCAUUCGCAGCCAGCCGUGCAGCCCCGGCUCAAGCUGCUCCUGAUGGGCCACAAGGCUGCAGGAAAGACCCUGCUUCGACAUUGCCUCACCGAGGACAAAGUGGAGGGAGGGCAAGGUGGAGGGGACAAGGAGAAGAGCUACCUACCUUUCCCUCCCCUUGGUAGUAAGGGCAUCGAGGUGACCAGCUGGACAGCGGAUGCUUCCCGGGGCUUGCGGUUCAUUGUGUAUGACUUAGCCGGUGAUGAAAGCUAUGAGGUGAUACAGCCCUUCUUCCUCUCCCCUGGAGCCCUGUAUGUGCUCGUGGUCAACUUGGCCACCUAUGAACCUCGCUGCUUCCCUACCACCGUGGGCUCCUUCUUGCAUCGGGUGGGGGCCCGGGUGCCUCACGCUGUGGUGUGUAUUGUAGGCACGCAUGCGGACCUGUGUGGGGAGCGGGAGCUUGAGGAGAAAUGUCUGGACAUUCACCGACAGAUUGCCCUGCAGGAGAAGAACGAUGCAGAGGGCCUUAGCCAUCUAGCCAAGGUGGUGGAUGAGGCCCUGGCUCGGGACUUCGAGCUGCGCUCUGCCAGCCCUCACGCAGCCUACUACGGUGUUUCAGACAAGAACCUUCGGAGGCGCAAGGCCCAUUUUCAAUACUUGCUUAACCACCGGUUGCAGAUCCUCUCUCCCGUGUUGCCCGUAAGCUGCCGGGACCCCCUCCAAUUGCAACGCCUUCGAGACAAGCUGCUCUCUGUAGCUGAGCACCGAGAAAUCUUUCCCAACUUACACCGAGUCCUGCCUCGAUCCUGGCAGGUACUGGAGGAACUGCACUUCCAGCCACCUCAGGCACAACGACUGUGGCUGAGCUGGUGGGACUCUGCCCGCCUGGGCCUGCAGGCAGGUCUGACUGAGGACCGGCUCCAGAGUGCUCUUUCCUACCUGCACGAGAGCGGCAAACUGCUCUAUUUUGAGGAUAGCCCAGCCCUCAAGGAGCAUGUCUUCCACAACCUCACCCGCCUCAUUGACAUCCUCAAUGUCUUUUUCCAGAGAGAUGCUUCAUUGCUGCUGCAUAAACUGCUCUUAGGGACCAAUGGAGAGGGGGAGGGGGAGGGGGAAAGUUUCCCCACUAUAGCAGUGCCCAGCCCGGGUCAGGACCCACUCCGGGCCACCCAGCUUCAUCAUUAUGUGGAAGGCUUUUUGCUGCAUGGGCUUCUGCCAGCCCACAUCAUUCGGUUGCUGCUUAAGCCUCAUGUCCAGGCCCAACAGGACUUGCAGCUCCUGCUGGAGCUGUUGGAGAAGAUGGGACUCUGUUACUGCCUCAAUAAACCCAAAGGCAAGCCUUUGAAUGGCUCCGCGGCAUGGUACAAGUUCCCAUGCUACGUGCAGAAUGAGGUGCCCCAUGCAGAGGCCUGGAUUAAUGGCACCAACCUAGCCGGGCAGUCUUUUGUGGCUGAACAGUUACAGAUCGAAUAUAGUUUUCCCUUCACCUUUCCACCUGGAUUGUUCGCACGUUACAGUGUCCAGAUCAACAGUCACGUGGUGCACAGGUCGGAUGGGAAAUUUCAGAUCUUUGCAUAUAGAGGGAAAGUUCCCGUGGUGGUGAGUUACAGACCUGCCAAGGGGGUUCUGCAGCCCGACACCCUGUCCAUUGCCAGCCAUGCGUCACUACCAAAUAUAUGGACCGCAUGGCAAGCCAUCACCCCUUUGGUAGAGGAACUGAAUGUCCUACUUCAGGAAUGGCCUGGACUGCACUACACUGUGCACAUCCUCUGUUCUAAGUGCCUUAAGAGAGGGUCGCCAAAUCCACACGCUUUCCCAGGGGAGUUGCUGAGCCAGCCCAGGCCAGAAGGGGUGGCAGAGAUCAUCUGCCCCAAGAAUGGCAGCGAGCGAGUGAAUGUGGCUUUGGUUUACCCACCUACACCGACUGUGAUCAGCCCUUGUUCCAAGAGGGACUGACUCUCCCAGUGCUUGGCUGCCUUUUCCAUCUGGGAGGAAUUGCGUGUCUUGAAUCCUGUAGUCUCCCGCCAGCUACAUUGAUACUGGACUUCUCCCCUCUCUGCUCAGGAAGAACGUUGGUGAGAAGCACAGAAACCAGUGACAUCCGCGCCUGUGGAAUUUUCAUGGAGUUAAUACAGGGCAUGGGACCGACUGGGACAUCUCCCGCCCCUGGCGAGCCUCCUGCCGUACUCCCAAGCGCCUUCCGGGGCCCAGAGUGAAACCGCGCAUGCACACUGGGGUGCUUGCAGAGGACCCUUGGAGGGGUUGGAGGGGGCUGGGAAGAUGGGAGCAAACAUGGAGCGAAUGUUUCACAACCCGAACCUCAGAACUGUGAUCCUCCAAGGAGAAAGCUACUUGAAGAAAAGAAGAAAAAAGAAAAAAGUUAACAGGCUUCUCAGGGAUUGUGUUUUCUGUGUACACAUGAGCCAUAGCUCCAGGCCAGGCGGCACUCAGAUUUCAGUUUCUUGUUCAAUGUGAAGGAGGGAUCAACUGACGUUCAUUGCCGUUCCGUAACUAGUGUAAGAUAUGUAUAUGUUAAUCUUUAUUUUUAUAAUAUGCAAAAUACAUUUAAAUUUAUACAGUUGGACGCUUCUAGCAUGAGUGAACACUGGGUGCAAUAUUCUGCAUGAGAGUUGUGCCAAGAUGGGGCUGGUGUCUUUUAGUGUCAGACCUUGGGUUCUUCUCGUAGUCCUUUUGCCCACCCACUCAACUGCAAAGAACAGAAAAAGCUAGCCUCUCCCUCGGAGUCCAUAGCUAGGUUCAAGGUUGGUUCCUAGAACUCUUAAUACUCCCCAGUGGCGUUCAGCCCAUGGAGACAGAGUCCCCUCCCACCUUUUCAUCACACCUCCCUGCUUGCUAGUCACUGGACAUGGUGGUAGAAUGAUAGCUGUUCUGUCUCCACCCAUGACCACUGAGGCUGAGGGGUGCGUUCCUAGAGGCCAGACGAGGUGACGAAUCUCUGAAAACCCGAAUCUUGGAACAACUUGAGAUAAUCUGAGUUCAGUUCUAAAUCUUGCAGCUGUUCUCCUGCUAUGCACCCCCCCGCCCCCCCCCCCUGUCUCCCUGACCCCGGGAACAGCGUGCAUGAUUUUGCAGAGCCCUCUGUGAACCUCUCCAUCUGAUUGGUAGCCUUCCUGAAAGGAGCAUCCUCUUUCAGGGCUCCAUCCCUCAUUGGCUGUUUAUUCAUGCAGAGCCACUUGGAGGAAGUCUGCAGCCAAGGUCCUAGUAGAACCAUUGUUUUGAAACCUCUAGGAGGUUAAACACUUAAAAACAAACUCUACAAAUUGCUCUCCAGUGUCCUCCUGGUUAGGGCCAAACAGCACGUGUUGCAGUAGAGACACAUUCUCUGAAGACUGUAAAGGACUGUGUUUACAUCCGCCUCCUCCGUGUGUUGACAGGAAACAUGUCAAACUGACUGUUCCCCACAAGAAAAGUGUGUCAGCUCUUCUUACUCUGUCACCUGUAUUCUAAAAUAUUGACUCCUAGAAUGUCACAGCACAGGCAGUUGCCACGAAUCUUUAAGAGGAAGGAAUACAAGCAGGCGACUGCACUUCUUGAGGCGUUACAAAUAAGAUUCGUGUUGAAUCUGUUCAGUUGACUUCCCUGCCCCCCGGAGCCCGUUAUGUGGAGGCAAUUUCUCAGAAAUCAGAAUCUAGUAGGGAUUGUCUCUCUCUCUCUCUCUAUGUUUUGAAUACUUGAACAUGACAAGUCCAGUUUAAAAUGUCUUUUUCCUUUUAGGACACAGUUGCAGGAUGGGUAAGAAUCUGGUUGAUCUCUUCUGUCAUAGGUCUCAUGUGUAUGUGUGCAAGUGUAAACCAGAGGGUUAGCAUUCCCCUUCCUUUGUAGACCACUGAAUUAUUGGGCAAUAGUUUAUUUUGUUGUUAUUGGCUUUUUGUUUUUGUUUUUGUUUUUUUUUAAAUUGGCACCAAACAGUUCUGAAACUGUCAAGUCAGCAAAGUUCAAUGUCCGCUAUGAUUUUGGGUUUACUUCCCAGAGGGCCAUGUCAAAUCAGAAGAAGGCUCCUUGGGAGAGCAUACCCUGCCCAUGGAUGCUCUUUUCAUAAACACAGAUGCCCAUGUUCUGAAUAUCUGUUACUUUCUGACAAGUGAUGUUGUGUGUUGUCAUCUGAACCCUAGAGAAGCAUCGUAGAUGAGGGAACCUUGGCGGUCAUGUAUCGUGGCUAGGGUGGGCACGAUCAGAGGGUCACGUGCCCGAGAAAGCUCCAGCAAAGCGUGAGAACUUGCCUCAGUGUGGGGGGGAAGGGCUGAGAUACAGAAGCCACCUUGCCCCAGAAGAAUUUCAGCGGCGGCUGUAUGAGAAAUUCUGUUUCCUUAUUUCACACCUGGGAAGACUCAGCAGCCAGCAGCUGAGGGGCCAUCCACUAAGCACAAGAGGAAUUCGUUCUACCCAAGGAGCCCCGUGCCUCUCAAAUGCGCUCCGAGUUUGUUAUGGUUUCUAUUCUUACAACUAACGGUAUCAAAACCACUUCCUGGGAUUGUACAAGUGCUGCCAGAAUAAAUGUUUCCCCCUUCUAAGGAAAAAAAAACAAAACAAAACAAGACAAAAAAUCCGACAGUGCUCAUGUUUGACGUGUGCGCUGGACUCUUUUGAAUGAAUAAAGAGGAAGGGCUUGUUGGGAUUCCAGUGGAGUGUGUGUUUUUCAUGCUGCAGUCUGUGAAUUGUAAUUGUGGUUUCCCAGUUCAUUGUCCUAACGGGGCAGAAGUUAAAAAACAAAACAAAAACAAAACAAAACAAAAAAAACAAUAAAAACACAAUGAAAUGGUUAA